CCUACGGGUGGCUGCAGUGGGGAAUAUUGCACAAUGGGGGGAAGCCUGAAGCAGCGAAGCCGCGUGAGUGAAGAAGGAUUUCGGGGUGGAAAGCUCUAUCAGCAGGGGAGAAGAUGACGGUACCUGAAGGAGAAGCACCGGAUAACUACGUGACAGAAGGGGCGGGAAUACGUAGGGGGCCAGCGUUAGACGGAUUUACUGGGUGUAAAGGGCGCGUAGACGGCAGGUCGAGACUGGUGUGAAAGCCCCGGGCCAAACCCGGGGACUGCAUUGGAAACUGCCAUGCUUGAGUGCUGGAGAGGUAGGCGGAAUUCGUAGUGUAGCGGUGAAAUGCGUAGAUAUGAGGAGGAACACCAGUGGCGAAGGCGGCUUACUGGACAGUAACUGACGUUGAGGCUCGAAAGCGUGGGGAGCAAACAGGAUUAGAUACCCGAGUAGUC
rnacentral:rRNA from 1 species